UCAGUAAGCAUCGUGGCGGCGGCUGUGCGGGCAUUAGGAGUGACGCAGGUGCCAGGGAGCAGGGUAAGUAUAACCUAUAUGAGGGCCCGGGCAUUAGGGCAGACAUUAUAGGGGUUGGAUAACCCCUUUA